rnacentral:rRNA from 1 species
UAGCGACAGGCCUAACACGAUGCAAGUCGAGGGGCAGCGCGGGAGAAGCUUGCUUUCCUGGCGGCGACCGGCGCACGGGUGCGUAACAGGUGUGCAAUCUGUCCAUAGUCGGGGGAUAGCCCAGCGAAAGCUGAAUUAACACUCCAUGUGAAUCGAAGCCGCAUGACUUUGAUUUGAAACGCAAGGACUAUGGGUGAGCACGCUUCUGAUUAGCUAGUUGGUGGGGUAACGGCUCACCAAGGCGACGAUCAGUAGGGGUUCUGAGAGGAAGGUCCCCCACAUUGGAACUGAGACACGGUCCAAACUCCUACGGGAGGCAGCAGUGAGGAAUAUUGGUCAAUGGGCGAGAGCCUGAACCAGCCAAGUCGCGUGAAAAGGAUGAAGGUUCUAUGGAUUGUAAACUUCUUUUGUCCGAGGGUAAAAAAGGCCACGUGUGGCUUCUUGCAAGUAUCGGACGAAUAAGCAUCGGCUAACUCCGUGCCAGCCGCAGC